GUGCUUGCACUUGACGACGACCGGCGCACGGGUGCGGAACGCGUAUGGAACCUACCUUUAUCAGGGGGAUAGCCCAUGGAAACGUGGAUUAAUACCCCAUAGUAUUAUUUCAUUGCAUGAUGAUAUAAUUAAAGAAUUUCGGAUAGAGAUGGCCAUGCGUAUCAUUAGCUAGUAGGCGAGGUAACGGCUCACCUAGGCGACGAUGAUUAGGGGUCCUGAGAGGGAGAUCCCCCACACUGGGACUGAGACACGGCCCAGACUCCUACGGGAGGCAGCAGUGGGGAAUCUUAGACAAUGGGGGCAACCCUGAUCUAGCCAUGCCGCGUGAGUGAUGAAGGCCUUAGGGUCGUAAAGCUCUUUCGCCUGUGAUGAUAAUGACAGUAGCAGGUAAAGAAACCCCGGCUAACUCCGUG
rnacentral:rRNA from 1 species